rnacentral:rRNA from 1 species
UACGUAGGGUGCAAGCGUUUAAUCGGAAUUACUGGGCGUAAAGCGUGCGCAGGCGGUGAUGUAAGACAGGUGUGAAAUCCCCGGGCUUAACCUGGGAACUGCAUUUGUGACUGCAUCGCUGGAGUGCGGCAGAGGGGGAUGGAAUUCCGCGUGUAGCAGUGAAAUGCGUAGAUAUGCGGAGGAAUACCGAUGGCGAAGGCAGCCUCCUGGGCCAACACUGACGCUCAUGCACGAAAGCGUGGGGAGCAAACAGG